UGUGUACAGUAUGUGAUAUUUUACCACUUUGCUUUAAUCAUAGAUCAAGUACAGUACCAGAUGGCUUGAUGGGUUUGGGCUCACAGACGGGGAAGGAAUGAAAAGGCUGUGGUCUUUCCUCCAAAGAUUUGCCAGAGUCACAAAGGAGAUGACUCCAUCUCAUCGCCUUGACCUACUGACUGAUGUCCGCCUUGACGGAGGAAAUCAACUGACCUAGAGGUGCAGCUCCUGCAAAGAGUAGACAAAGCAGAGAAAAUAUUGCUCAAGAAGAUAUCUCAUCAGAGAGGCACCAGGUAAACAAUGCACAUAAGAAGCAGUGUUGAUUUCUGAAGGAGACAUGGAGAGAUGGAAAAAAGCUAGCCCAACAGAAACCAAUAAACACUGUCUGUAGAUGGAAAAGGGACUACAUCAUCAGACUGAUUCAGUUCUACAAGUUCAAAAUUGAGGACUCUGCUGAACAUUGAGGAAAAAUACCGUAUUGGGAGAAGAUGGCAAGAGUCUGAUUCAAACUUCCAGUCUACCCUUAAAGAUGUGGACCGUGAGCUCAGAGUCCAACUGUAAGGCUAGAACUGAAUCAAGGGAGAGAGCAGUCGUCCUCCACCUGAGAAGAAUAUAUCCAGCUUUGCUUCAGAUGGGCAGGCCAUUGCCAUUAGACUCUCCAAGCAGGUAGCCAAUUGAUUUUCAGGAAUCAUGUGAUCCCUCUUGGCAUGUCUACUUCUGCUUUAAUGACACUAUUGAAGAAGAUGAUGUUUCGAGGAGUCUAAAAAGGCAAGGGAUUGAUGCCUUACAUAUGAAGACUCGGGCAGCUGAGGAAAAGUGGCCAAGUGGUCUAAGGGGCCAGUCACACCAAAAGCGUUUAUGGCAGUUGCAGGCGCCUUUUUUGAAUGAUAUUCUAUAGGCAGGGCGCGUUUACGCGCUGUUUAUGUGCGCCGAGCGCCUCGCGUUUUUUUGCCGCCUGCCGCGCACGCGUUUUUGAAGGAGCGCUGAGAGCGGAGAAGAGCCCGACGUCAUUCGGGUCUUUCCAUUGUCCAAUCAAAUGAGGGGAGAGCCGGGCCUUACGUUGUGGUGAGUGAAGUUUACAGUUGCUUUGAAAAACCAGACUCCACUGGCUCACUCUCUCCUGCGUGUUUGUGCACCUCUCACCCUCAAACAAGGUCAGAGCAAGCGCCCUCUUUUUAAAGUUUCUGCUAAUAUGACAGUUAACAGCAAAAGAGCGCUCACGCUUCAAUAUUUGAUUGACAAGACAGCUGACUCGGUGGUUGCUUAGCAAUAUGAAAAGCCACGUCGCACUGCUCUUUUUUUGCAAGCGUUUAAAGCGCUUUUGGUGUGACUGGCCCCUAACUGAACACCCCAUCAGCAGCAGGCCUCUAACAUUUGGGCUCUAACAUCAAAGACACUGAGCAGCCUGGUGCAAAAGCUGCUCUCAUUCAACACCUCCAACAGCUGGAAAGAAAACUACAUCAAGCCAUUGUGAUGUUUCACCCACAUCUAUCGGACAUUGUUCCUGCAGACAACCCCCACUUGUGUCAGGCCCUCCCCAUGCCAAGCAUACAGACACUGGUAUACAAUGAUAAGAGUGAUAAUGAUGAAAAUGUGGAUAAAUAUGAUAACUAGCACUACAGAUUUUUUGUUAAUUUCUAGUCUGAUAUUGUAUUCUGUAAAAAGAAAGAUGUAAAAUGUAUAGUAUAUGUUGCAGCAUAUCAUAGAAACCUUUAUGGUGGUGUAAUAUAAUGUUCGCCUUACUUGUGCAAACAUGAUGUUUUACUAGGUCUGAUUUAUUUUAAAGCGUAGGUACUGUUUUUAAGCACACAUAUUCACACUAGUCUGUGUGAGGACAAAAUUGUGUGUUUACCAUUGUGAUGUUACUUAUUUACUGUAAUGUAAAAAUGUGGUCAAUGUGUGUAAGGUGUUUUGUUUUUGUGAGCUAAGUUAAAAUGACAAAGUAUUGAAUCUUGAAUCCUUUGAAACAAAUACUGUAAAAGUUUGUAAAAAAAUAAAAUGUUUUCCACAAUGAGU